UCCUUUUUUUUUAUCAAUUAUAGCAUGAUUCGUUAAUAUUAUUAACAAAUCUUCUAAGCGUAUUGAUUAAAAUGCUUUUUUCUUACACUGGGUUUACAAUUACUUGCAAUGAUAUCGAUAAAAAAUACUUUAGCUAACGGAAUCUGGAUUAAUUUCUUUGCACAUAAAUUUUUCGUUUUAAUUCUGUGAAUAUGUAAACGAGAUUAGAGAAACGUUAAAUAAAACUUCGCAACAGAAUAUUCAUUACAACUUGCAUCAUUGAAGAGCAUUAGGGAGAACGUUAUAAUCCUGGCUAGAUUUUACAACGUUACAGAAUAGAAUAUCAUCAUGAGAAGCUGGAUUAUUACAUUAAUCCCAUGUACACGCCGAAAGGACCAUUGAAUUUGACGUUCAUCGAUAGAUAGUGGUCUUCAAAUUCAUACGUUCGAUUGUAGUAAACAAAACAAUAAAUGUACAAAUAAAUUAUUCAUUUAGGCAGACAGUUUAUUCGUUUGUAUUUGUAUUAAUUGCUUAAUAGCUAUCUCGGUAGUACUUUGAAUUUGAGCUCUCCAUGUGGAGCGUACAUGAACGUGACAUUGUAUUUCAAUGGUUUGUGAUGGUACUCCAAUUUGUAAGAUCUUAUCAACUGAAAAUCAAUCAAAAUUAAAAUUAUUUUACAAUACACGUAGGCUGAGCCUAUCGAGCAUUUUAUAUUAGAAUAUAUUUAAAUAAUUCAUAAUGUUAAUUUACAAAACAUGUGAUUGAACAAAUAUUUUGCAUAAAAUAUAAAUAAAUAAUUGUGCUUCGAGAAUAUUGUACACAUACCUUAGCCAAUAAAACUUGCAUUUCUAA